CCNGAGUGCUCUAGUGCCUAUGGGGUC
rnacentral:piRNA from 1 species